rnacentral:antisense_RNA from 1 species
CGUCAUGGCAGAUCGCGCGGGGAGACCGCUUGCGGUCUGCCGGCCCGAUGUCCGGUCUGUCAAUCCCCCGUGGUCUGCCUUCCUU